UACGGGAGGCAGCAGUGGGGAAUAUUGCACAAUGGGCGCAAGCCUGAUGCAGCCAUGCCGCGUGUAUGAAAAAGGCCUUCGGGUUGUAAAGUACUUUCAGUCGUGAGGAAGGUGUUAAGGUUAAUAACCUUAGCAAUUGACGUUAGCGACAGAAGAAGCACCGGCUAACUCCGUGCCAGCAGCCGCGGUAAUACGGAGGGUGCGAGCGUUAAUCGGAAUUACUGGGCGUAAAGGGCACGCAGGCGGUUAAUUAAGUUGGAUGUGAAAUCCCCGGGCUUAACCUGGGAAUGGCAUUCAAGACUGGUUAGCUAGAGUCUUGUAGAGGGGGGUUAGAAUUCCAUGUGUAGCGGUGAAAUGCGUAGAGAUGUGGAGGAAUACCGGUGGCGAAGGCGGCCCCUGGACAAAGACUGACGCUCAUGUGCGAAAGCGUGGGGAGCAAACAGGGAUUAGAUACC
rnacentral:rRNA from 1 species